rnacentral:rRNA from 1 species
UACAGGGGGUGCAAACGUUGCUCGGAAUCAUUGGGCGUAAAGCGCACGUAGGCGGUUCGUUAUGUCGGAUGUGAAAGCCCUUGGCUUAACCGAGGAAGUGCAUCCGAAACUGGCGAGCUAGAGUACGAAAGAGGAUCGCGGAAUUCCCGGUGUAGAGGUGAAAUUCGUAGAUAGUCGGGAGGAACACCGGGUGGCGAAGGCGGCGAUCUGGGUCGAUACUGACGCGUGAGGUGGCGAAAGCGUGGGGAGCA